GUGGGGAAUAUUGGACAAUGGGGGGAACCCUGAUCCAGCCAUGCCGCGUGUGUGAAGAAGGCCUUUUGGUUGUAAAGCACUUUAAGCGAGGAGGAGGCUACCGAGAUUAAUACUCUUGGAUAGUGGACGUUACUCGCAGAAUAAGCACCGGCUAACUCUGUGCCAGCAGCCGCGGUAAUACAGAGGGUGCAAGCGUUAAUCGGAUUUACUGGGCAUAAAGCGCGCGUAGGUGGCCAAUUAAGUCAAAUGUGAAAUCCCCGAGCUUAACUUGGGAAUUGCAUUCGAUACUGGUUGGCUAGAGUAUGGGAGAGGAUGGUAGAAUUCCAGGUGUAGCGGUGAAAUGCGUAGAGAUCUGGAGGAAUACCGAUGGCGAAGGCAGCCAUCUGGCCUAAUACUGACACUGAGGUGCGAAAGCAUGGGGAGCAAACAGGAUUAGAUACCCUAGUAGUCC
rnacentral:rRNA from 1 species